AACGAACGCUGGCGGCAUGCCUAACACAUGCAAGUCGAACGAGACCUUCGGGUCUAGUGGCGCACGGGUGCGUAACGCGUGGGAACCUGCCCGUAGGUUCGGAAUAACUCCCCGAAAGGGGUGCUAAUACCGGUUAAUGUCUUCGGACCAAAGAUUUAUCGCCUUUGGAUGGGCCCGCGUUGGAUUAGCUAGUUGGUAGGGUAAAAGCCUGCCAAGGCGACGAUCCAUAGCUGGUCUGAGAGGAUGAUCAGCCACACUGGGACUGAGACACGGCCCCGACUCCUACGGGAGGCAGCAGUGGGGAAUAUUGGACAAUGGGCGAAAGCCUGAUCCAGCAAUGCCGCGUGAGUGAUGAAGGCCUUAGGGUUGUAAAGCUCUUUUACCCGGGACGAUAAUGACAGUACCGGGAGAAUAAGCUCCGGCUAACUCCGUG
rnacentral:rRNA from 1 species